GACGAACGCUGGCGGCGUGCUUAACACAUGCAAGUCGAACGCUGAAGCCCAGCUUUUGUUGGGUGGAUGAGUGGCGAACGGGUGAGUAACACGUGAGUAACCUGCCUCCUUCUUUGGGAUAACGCCCGGAAACGGGUGCUAAUACUGGAUAUUCACUGGUCUUCGCAUGGGGGUUGGUGGAAAGGGUUUUUCUGGUGGGGGAUGGGCUCGCGGCCUAUCAGCUUGUUGGUGGGGUGAUGGCCUACCAAGGCUUUGACGGGUAGCCGGACUGGGAGGGUGACCGGUAACAUUGGGACUGAGAUUGGGCCCAGACUCCUACGGGAGGCAGCAGGGGGGAAUAUUGCGCAAUGGGCGCAAGCCUGAUGCAGCGACGCCGCGUGAGGGAUGGAGGCCUUCGGGUUGUGAACCUCUUUCGCUCAUGGUCAAGCCGCAACAAUGGUUGUGGUGAGGGUAGUGGGUAAAGAAGCGCCGGCUAACUACGUG
rnacentral:rRNA from 1 species